GCACUGAUCCAAGUCCUGGAUUUUUGGCACCGAAAAUAGUCCGGCGGCGCGCGGAGCGACCGCGAGGGCGCAGUGCGUGUCGCUCCGCCGUGUGAACAGCUCGUGAGGCCAGUAGCUGGCGUAUAUUUCAUCGGGACCGUAAAGACAGAACAAAACCUCCACCAUGGACGCGAUCAAGAAGAAGAUGCAGGCGAUGAAGCUGGAGAAGGACAACGCCAUGGACAAGGCGGACACCUGCGAACAGCAGGCUAGGGAUGCCAACCUCCGUGCCGAAAAGGUGAACGAGGAAGUCCGUGAGCUCCAGAAGAAGCUCGCCCAGGUGGAGGAGGACCUGAUCCUGAACAAGAACAAGCUGGAGCAGGCGAACAAAGACCUGGAGGAGAAGGAGAAGCAGCUGGCCGCCACCGAGGCGGAGGUCGCCGCGCUCAACAGGAAGGUGCAGCAAAUUGAGGAGGACCUCGAGAAGUCCGAGGAGCGCUCCGGCACAGCGCAGCAGAAGCUGCUCGAGGCCCAGCAGGCUGCUGACGAGAACAACCGCAUGUGCAAGGUACUGGAGAACAGGGCGCAGCAGGAUGAGGAGCGUAUGGACCAGCUCACCAACCAGCUGAAGGAGGCUCGUCUGCUCGCUGAGGAUGCCGACGGCAAGUCUGACGAGGUGUCCCGCAAGCUGGCGUUCGUUGAAGACGAGCUGGAAGUGGCUGAGGACCGUGUCAAGUCUGGAGACGCCAAGAUCUCUGAACUUGAGGAGGAAUUAAAGGUCGUAGGUAACUCCCUUAAAUCCCUGGAAGUGUCAGAAGAGAAAGCCAACCAGCGCGUAGAAGAAUUCAAGAAGCAACUGAAGACCCUCACCUCGAAGCUGAAGGAAGCGGAAGCGCGCGCAGAAUACGCAGAGAAGACCGUCAAGAAACUACAGAAGGAAGUCGACAGGCUCGAAGACAUGUUGUUCAACGAGAAGGAGAAAUAUAAGGCGAUAUGCGAUGACUUGGACGGCACUUUCGCCGAACUCACAGGAUACUAAUGACCCUUUAGCACUUAGUUUAAGACAUCGUUACUAACAUUUAGUAUUUCAAUUUAAAUCCAUAAAGAAUCCAUCAACAAACGUUACAUACAUCCAGAUACCUAAUAACUAAAAAUUAAAAAAAAAAACACGUUCGUAAAAUUUUUACUCUGUGAACCGAAGGAACGUAAUUCUAAAUUAUUUUCAUUAAUAGAUGGUAUCUUGAAGUAUAUGUAUCUCCAACGUGUAAUAAAAUAAUUAGCAAUUCGUGUUGAAUUUCUAUUUCAAAAACGCAAUAAUUUUCUAUCUCAAACUAAUCAACUAACUCCUGUGCUGAUAUUUAGGGGAUUCGUCGACUUUCUGGUCAAUAUUCUGACGGUCCUUUAGAAAUCGCUUAGUAUAGGAGUCCUUGCUUUUUUUGUUUGUUAUUAACAUGUCUUUGCUUACCGCUACCGUGGUGGACCAAAUCUUCCAAGACGAAUUGGGCAUCAACAAGGACCGUUACAAGAGCUUGGCCGACGAAAUGGACUCGACCUUCGCCGAGCUCGCCGGUUACUAGACGUCGCACUCCACGCAAACAAACAUUCACACAAACAAACAAGUACACAAGUCGCAGUGUCACAUCCAAAAUACCUUGUACACGUGAUGUAAUAUUUAUUAAUAUUUUAUGUAAAUUUAUUUACGAUUUUCAAUAAAAAAAAUUAAUUUAUAAUAAAA